rnacentral:rRNA from 1 species
UGGGGAAUUUUGCACAAUGGGGGAAACCCUGAUGCAGCGACGCCGCGUGAUUUAGAAGGCCUUCGGGUUGUAAAAAUCUUUUCUAUGGGAAGAAAAUGACAGUACCAUAGGAACAAGGACCGGCUAAUUACGUGCCAGCAGCCGCGGUAAUACGUAAGGUCCGAGCGUUGUCCGGAAUCAUUGGGCGUAAAGGGUACGUAGGCGGGUAAGCAAGUUAGAAGUGAAAUCCUAUAGCUCAACUAUAGUAAGCUUUUAAAACUGCUCAUCUUGAGGUAUGGAAGGGAAAGUGGAAUUCCUAGUGUAGCGGUGAAAUGCGCAGAUAUUAGGAGGAAUACCGGUGGCGAAGGCGACUUUCUGGCCAUAACCUGACGCUGAGGUACGAAAGCGUGGGUAGCAAACAGG